rnacentral:lncRNA from 1 species
CCUGUGUGCUGUUUUUUAAGGAACCACUGCUUAUUAAUUGUUUUACCAGUUCUGGCACAGUCCUGGAAAGAGACUCAAGGCUGCAAGCCCUUCCAAAAAUCAAUGAUCCUGGAACCUCUGGAGGAAUUUGUAAAUUUGAAGGGAAAGUCUUUUUCCAUGUCCUGUAAUGUGACUGUGGGAUGCAAACACCAAAGAAAACACUGAACAGCUAUGAUGGGUAGCUACGAACAAGGAACAACUCUCAAGAUCUCAUUCCAGUUCCAAGGAAGAGGAUCAAUUUCUCAUUUUUUUCAGAUUUAGAAUAUUGAAUGAACCGGCUUUUCUUUCAAGAAAAAUUUCAUGUUCCCAAUUUCUUCUCUUCCAAAUAAGAAGCAUAAGCUAGAAGUUAUAUUUUUUCCCUUAAAAUAGUUUUUUAAAUGAUUUUGGGAAAACCAAAAAAGUGGUCAGCACAAAAAUGUUUGGAAUUUAUUUAAAAAGCAUAUAGUUUAGAGUUGACAACAUGAAAGGCAAUUACCUAAGAAUCCAUAUUUGUUCAUGAAACAUG